GUUGAACGCUGGCGGCGUGCUUAACACAUGCAAGUCGAACGUGAAAGUCCUUCGGGGCGAGUAAAGUGGCGCACGGGUGAGUAACGCGUGGAUAAUCUACCCUUAAGAUGGGGAUAACGGCUGGAAACGGUCGCUAAUACCGAAUACGCUCCCGAUUUUAUCAUUGGGGGGAAAGAUGGCCUCUGCUUGCAAGCUAUCGCUUAAGGAUGAGUCCGCGUCCCAUUAGCUAGUUGGCGGGUAACGCCCACAGGCAACGAUGGGUAGCCGGUCUGAGAGGAUGACCGGCCACACUGGAACUGGGAACACGGGUCCAGACUCCUACGGGAGCAGCAGUGGGGAAUAUUGCGCAAUGGGCGAAAGCCUGACGCAGCGACGCCGCGUGAGGGAUGAA
rnacentral:rRNA from 1 species